rnacentral:rRNA from 1 species
UAUUUUCCUUGUGUGCCAGCCGCCGCGGUAAUACGGAAGGUCCGGGCGUUAUCCGGAUUUAUUGGGUUUAAAGGGAGCGUAGGCCGGAGAUUAAGCGUGUUGUGAAAUGUAGAUGCUCAACAUCUGAACUGCAGCGCGAACUGGUUUCCUUGAGUACGCAUAAAGUGGGCGGAAUUCGUGGUGUAGCGGUGAAAUGCUUAGAUAUCACGAAGAACUCCGAUUGCGAAGGCAGCUCACUGGGGCGCAACUGACGCUGAAGCUCGAAAGCGCGGGUAUCGAACAGG